rnacentral:ncRNA from 4 species
CUGCGGAAGGAUCAUUAA